UACACUCCUACGGGAGGCAGCAGUGGGGAAUAUUGGACAAUGGGCGCAAGCCUGAUCCAGCCAUGCCGCGUGAGUGAUGAAGGCCCUAGGGUUGUAAAGCUCUUUCACCGGUGAAGAUAAUGACGGUAACCGGAGAAGAAGCCCCGGCUAACUUCGUGCCAGCAGCCGCGGUAAUACGAAGGGGGCUAGCGUUGUUCGGAUUUACUGGGCGUAAAGCGCACGUAGGCGGACUAUUAAGUCAGGGGUGAAAUCCCGGGGCUCAACCCCGGAACUGCCUUUGAUACUGGUAGUCUUGAGGUCGAGAGAGGUGAGUGGAAUUCCGAGUGUAGAGGUGAAAUUCGUAGAUAUUCGGAGGAACACCAGUGGCGAAGGCGGCUCACUGGCUCGAUACUGACGCUGAGGUGCGAAAGCGUGGGGAGCAAACAGGAUUAGAAACCCCAGUAGUCCCAUGA
rnacentral:rRNA from 1 species